AACGAACGCUGGCGGCAGGCUUAACACAUGCAAGUCGAGCGCCCCGCAAGGGGAGCGGCAGACGGGUGAGUAACGCGUGGGAACGUACCUUUUGCUACGGAAUAACUCAGGGAAACUUGUGCUAAUACCGUAUGUGCCCUUCGGGGGAAAGAUUUAUCGGCAAAGGAUCGGCCCGCGUUGGAUUAGCUAGUUGGUGAGGUAAAGGCUCACCAAGGCGACGAUCCAUAGCUGGUCUGAGAGGAUGAUCAGCCACACUGGGACUGAGACACGGCCCAGACUCCUACGGGAGGCAGCAGUGGGGAAUAUUGGACAAUGGGCGCAAGCCUGAUCCAGCCAUGCCGCGUGAGUGAUGAAGGCCCUAGGGUUGUAAAGCUCUUUCACCGGUGAAGAUAAUGACGGUA
rnacentral:rRNA from 1 species